rnacentral:rRNA from 1 species
CCUACGGGUGGCAGCAGUAGGGAAUCUUUCACAAUGGGCGAAAGCCUGAUGGAGCAACGCCGCGUGCAGGAUGAAGGCCUUCGGGUUGUAAACUGCUUUUAUAAGCGAGAAAUAUGAUGGUAACUUAUGAAUAAGGAUCGGCUAACUACGUGCCAGCAGCCGCGGUCAUACGUAGGAUCCGAGCAUUAUCCGGAGUGACUGGGUGUAAAGAGUUGCGUAGGUGGCAUAAUAAGUAGCUAGUGAAAUCUGGUGGCUCAACCAUUCAGACUAUUAGCUAAACUGUUAAGCUCGAGACCGUUAGUGGUAACUGGAAUGUCUAGUGUAGGAGUGAAAUCCGUAGAGAUUAGAAGGAACACCAAUAGCGUAGGCAGGUUGCUGGGACGGUUCUGACACUAAGGCACGAAAGCGUAGGGAGCAAACGGGAUUAGAUACCCCUGUAGUC